AAAUUGUUGUUGAAAAUUUUGGCAGCUCAAGAAAAAAUAAGAGAGACGCAAAAGUUGCAUUCAGCUAUGUUGCACAGCAUUCAGCAACAAAUUAAUUCAACGCAUGGCAUUACAGAGGAUGAAAUUGAAUUAAACUUACCACUUAAAACAACUGAAGAUGUCGAAGCUUUUGAAGAUAGGUUGAAAGAUGAAUAUUUGAAAAAAAAAAUUGGUUCAGGUCCUUGUAAAUAAUGGUGGUAUGAAUAUAACAAAUUUUGUAAGAAGGAAUAUGAAAUUUUUAUUUUCUAAUGAACUGGCACGAAAAUAUAACCUAACUGGUCA
rnacentral:lncRNA from 1 species